rnacentral:rRNA from 1 species
UACGGGGGGAGCAAGCGUUGUUCGGAUUUACUGGGCGUAAAGGGCGCGUAGGCGGCCACCGCAAGUCAAUUGUGAAAUCUCCGGGCUUAACUCGGAAAGGUCAACUGAUACUGCGGGGCUAGAGUGCGGAAGGGGCAACUGGAAUUCUCGGUGUAGCGGUGAAAUGCGUAGAUAUCGGAAGGAACAUCAGUGGCGAAAGCGACUUCCUGGACCAAUACUGACGCUCAUGUGCGAAAGCGUGGGGAGCAAACAGG